GAGAGAUUUCUUUGACUGUUUCCUCAGGGAGUCUCCUUCAAAUGGAAUCCUGGCACAUGUUCUUUUCCUUGAUAAUGAAGCAAGGCCAACAAUGCAAAGUAAGUUGCCUCACUCCCUGAGAGAGAAGGCAGAGUGUGUGAGCAUCAAGAUAAAUGGGCCAUUAAACUUCAUCCAGCUGACUGAUCAUCAUUUGAGGAAUCUCCAAAAGUUUUAACCAAAAAAGGAGAAAGCAACCACAACAAAGAAUGUGGGAGGCUGACAGGUGGAAGAUGAUGAACUCAGCAGAUCUGUUACCCUCCAGAGGACAGAGGAGAUCUGUUUCCAGGCUGUCAAAGAUCUCAGCUCUUCUUGUAUGUUG